GCCUGGAUAGCUCAGUUGGGAGAGUAUCAGACUUUUAAUCUGAGGGUCCAUAGUUCAAACUCAUGUUCAGGUG
rnacentral:tRNA from 1 species